rnacentral:rRNA from 1 species
GCGAGUCGAGAGGGUUCGGCCCUCGGCGAACUGCUCAGUAACACGUGGAUAAUUUGCCCUUAGGUGGAGGAUAAUCUCGGGAAACUGAGAAUAAUACUCCAUAGGUCUAGGAUGCUGGAAUGCACUUAGAUUGAAAGUUCCGGCGCCUAAGGAUAAGUCUGCGGACUAUCAGGUUGUAGUCAGGGUAAAGACCUGACUAGCCUACGACGGAUACGGGUUGUGAGAGCAAUAACCCGGAGACGAUAUCUGAGACACGAUAUCGGGCCCUACGGGGCGCAGCAGGCGCGAAAACUUCACACUGUGCGAAAGCGCGAUGAGGGAAUCCCAAGUGUUUGCUCGUUAGAGUAAACUGUUUCUUUGUUUAAAACGCAGAGAGAGUAAGGGCUGGGUAAGACGGGUGCCAGCCGCCGCGGUAAUACCUGCAGCUCAAGUGGUGAUCAUUAUUAUUGGGCCUAAAACGUCCGUAGCCGGUUUAGUAAAUGCCUGGGUAAAUCGUGUAGCUUAACUAUACGACUUCCGGGUAGACUGCUAAACUUGAGACCGGGAGAGGCUAGAGGUACUCCUGGGGUAGAGGUGAAAUUCUGUAAUCCUAGGGGGACCACCAGUGGCGAAGGCGUCUAGCUAGAACGGGUCUGACGGUGAGGGACGAAGCCCUGGGGCGCAAACCGGAUUAGAUACCCGGGUAGUCCAGGGUGUAAACGCUGCUUGCUUGAUGUUAGUUGGGCUCCGAGCCCAACUAGUGUCGGAGA